UGAGGGGAGGAGGCGUAACAUUGUAAAGAGGCGUAACCAAGGGAAAAGGCGUAACUACCAAAAAUGACGUAGGCGUGGGCGUCAUGUAUUAGCCAAUAGUAUUGUGGAAAAGAGCAAGCAAAAACAUGGCGGAUCAGACUCUCCAUCCAACCAUCUUCAAAGAUGGGCGCCUACCACAAUCCAUUUUUGAAGGCUCACAGUCACAAUCCAAAUGCAACAUUUGUUUUAAAAGGGGGGAGUAUGCAUAUGUUUUGGCUCAUAUGCAAACCCAUGAAAAGACAGCUGUUUGUUAGAGAGGAAUGUUGGCCAGCACAUGAAACCCGGAACAUGAUCAGAGUUCUCAAGCCUUGAUAUAGAGGACCAUCCUGCACAAAAUUAUGGCAGUAAUGACUGUGGUAUAUUCAUGUUAGUGGUAAAUUAAAGCUUGACUGUGAGGGGGAAACAAAUGUCCAACAGUGAUUCAUAUUCCAAACAUGCAGCUAUACCUUUCCUUCACUGGCAUAAGACUCAUCAGCUUUGUGAUGUCAUGCAUACAAAGAAAAUAAAGUUUAUAUUUAUUUGCACAUUUUGCAGCACUCCUGGUAUACUGUCAUGGGGGUUCCAUUUGACUUUACUGGUGUAAGUAUGGCUGUCACUGAUGGUGUAGUGGUACACUCGCCUGACUGGUCCAGGCAGCGUGGGUUCAGUUCCCACUCAGUGACGGUGUGAAUGUGAAUGCGUAUGGUUGUCCGUGUCUAUAUGUGCCCUGCGACUGUCUGAUGACCAGUUCAGGGUGUAGUCCGCCUUUCGCCCAAAGUCAGCUGGGAUAGGCUCCAGCACCCCGUGACCCUAACCAGGAUAAGGGGUGUUGAAAAUGGAUGGAUGGAGGUGUAAGUAUGAUACUACUACACAUAUAUUGUAUAUCACCAUAGCAUGUUUAAUUAGCCAUUCAUUAUUCCACCCCUAGCCCCUUACCCUUAGGUUUGUUGAUUUUUUUUUUUUAAUUUAAAAACUUUUCUUCUCUUCUUCUUAAAUUUAAAAACUUUUCUUCUCACAUGUCUUCUCACACAUGGAUGUAUAAUCUCAUUUGUAUGAUCUUAAUUUGUGGGCCUGGUACAAUCCUUUUUGUAGCCUACUGAAAAUGUAUUGCACUUAUGCUAUUUUAGCAUGACAUGCCAGAUGUGCAUAGGUGGUGGUGCACAAUCCUAUUGGAGAACCUGGAGAUUGAAGGGUACUGGUCUCUUAAACACCGAAGAUAUAUUCGGACUAUGGGGCAGCAUGUUUUGUCUAUCCAUCCAUCCAUCCAUCCAUCCAUCCAUUCAUCCAUUUUCUGAGCCGCUUCUCCUUUUAUCAUUGUUGUACAUACAUCUCCAAAAUGUAAUCUGCGUCCCAUUCACUUUAAGGAACCCCAGACCUCUUUGAUACAGGCCAGUCAAGGUGCGGUCAAGUCCUCUCCCAGGGUAGUGGUCAGUCCCAUCUUUUAGGCACGCAUCAAUAUUUCAUUGUCUUAAAGUUAUGGAAGUGAAGCACAUUUAUGAGCUGAUGACAAACACUCACUGGCUAGUCAUCAGACAAAUCUACAUUGAGUGCCCACUUGACACUUCUUUAUUUGAGAAUCAGAAAAAAAAAAAAAUCUGAAAGCUACCAAGUGUUGAUAAAUAAUUGUUUUAUGAUACUAUAAUUGUUCAAAGAGGAUAAUAUUAGACAUUAGCUAAUUUAUAAUUUACACUGUAUGUUCACAGCUGAUGGAUUCCAUUUUGAGGAGUAUCUUCAUUGAAGCUGUUCUUCAGGAUGGGGACUGUGUGAUCCGUGCACUGGCUCUGACCUGCACCGUUUUUGGGUUAUAGUCAGACUACAGACGUUCCACAAUGCAGCACACCUUCACUGGCUAGACAUUGAGUGUCGUGACCUGGAGUCUGUACAUAGGAACACAUACAGAAUCCCCAAUGUCACUGCCACCUGUGUCCAAUGUCAUAAUAAUUAUAAAGACACAAAAGGUCGAUGAUGGGGAAAGAGAGGAGAACUUCUCAGUUUUCAGUCUGACGGCGACAGUAUGGGAGGAUGCUGCUCGAUGGACUGUUUUUUGUUUCUGGAGGGACUUAUAAAAAAAUACAUAAAUACAUUUACUUUUGAUUCA